UGUCAGGUUCCUCAGGACUGUACACACAAGU
rnacentral:piRNA from 1 species